rnacentral:rRNA from 1 species
AGUGAACGCUGGCGGUAGGCCUAACACAUGCAAGUCGAACGGCAGCACAGUAAGAGCUUGCUCUUACGGGUGGCGAGUGGCGGAAGGGUGAGGAAUACAUCGGAUUCUACUUUUUCGUGGGGGAUAACGUAGGGAAACUUACGCUAAUACCGCAUACGACCUACGGGUGAAAGCAGGGGAUCUUCGGACCUUGCGCGAUUGAAUGAGCCGAUGUCGGAUUAGCUAGAUAGCGGGGUAAAGGCCCACCAAGGCGACGAUCCGUAGCUGGUCUGAGAGGAUGAUCAGACAGACUGUAACUGAGGCACGGCCCAGACUCUGACGGGAGGCAGCGGUGGGGAAUAUUGCGCGAUGGGGGCGUGCCUGAUCCAGCAAUACCGCGUGGGUGAAGAAGGCCUUCUGGUUGUAGAGCCCUUUUGUUGGGAGAGAAAAGCAGCAGGUUAAUACCCCGCUGUUCUGACGGUACCCAAAGAAUAAGCUCCGGCUAACUUCGUG